AGAGUUUGAUCCUGGCUCAGAUUGAACGCUGGCGGCAGGCCUAACACAUGCAAGUCGAGCGGUAGAGAGAAACUUGCUUCUCUUGAGAGCGGCGGACGGGUGAGUAAAGCCUAGGAAUCUGCCUGGUAGUGGGGGAUAACGUUCGGAAACGGACGCUAAUACCGCAUACGUCCUACGGGAGAAAGCAGGGGACCUUCGGGCCUUGGCGCUAUCAGAUGAGCCUAGGUCGGAUUAGCUAGUUGGUGAGGUAAUGGCUCACCAAGGCGACGAUCCGUAACUGGUCUGAGAGGAUGAUCAGUCACACUGGAACUGAGACACGGUCCAGACUCCUACGGGAGGCAGCAGUGGGGAAUAUUGGACAAUGGGCGAAAGCCUGAUCCAGCCAUGCCGCGUGUGUGAAGAAGGUCUUCGGAUUGUAAAGCACUUUAAGUUGGGAGGAAGGGCAUUAACCUAAUACGUUAGUGUUUUGACGUUACCGACAGAAUAAGCACCGGCUAACUCUGUGCCAGCAGCCGCGGUAAUACAGAGGGUGCAAGCGUUAAUCGGAAUUACUGGGCGUAAAGCGCGCGUAGGUGGUUUGUUAAGUUGGAUGUGAAAUCCCCGGGCUCAACCUGGGAACUGCAUUCAAAACUGACUGACUAGAGUAUGGUAGAGGGUGGUGGAAUUUCCUGUGUAGCGGUGAAAUGCGUANAUAU
rnacentral:rRNA from 1 species